ACAUGUAGGUUACAACGCUGCUGGCCGAAACCCAGAAAGCUGAGCUUUAGCAGAGGGCUUGUGACGUGUUUCGUACGAGCGACAGGGAAAUAUCGUUUUCCGGCGAUAGGGGCUGUUAUCGAACGGACGUUGCUCGCAGUCAGUGGUGAAAAUCCCUCUGUCGGUGGUUGUUUGGAUUCGGCAGUGGUUUUUUGUUGACUUUUAGGAUAAUUGCGAUUUAAAUGAACGCGCGUGGUGUUUACGUCGCGGAUAGGGGUGUGUCUUAUCCAUCCAGAGGGUAAAUUACCAUGACCUAAAAAUCUAUAUACUCCCACAACAGCCUGAGAUCAAUUAAAAUCGGGACCAUGGACAAGGGCGGGACAUUACACAUGACCGCCGCAACACCACCAUGGCUCUGCUGAUGCGGCGGUUAAUUACUGAUGCACAGAAUUAUCUUGAAAAUGGUUGUUAAUUUGUUAUUGUUGAUCAAUUUUGAACCAAACUAUCUGAAUUAUCCUGGUUUACUGCAUUACAGCAGAGAAAAUUAAAAUUGCCACUAUCUAUUUUAAGAACAAUGAAAACCUGGAAAAUUGCAAAAACUUAAUCGAAGAAUAAGAACCCCAGUCACGUCUACGUAAAAAGUUAGUAUCUAAAUUCUUGGAAACUGGAUCUGCAGCUAAUAAAAACAUGAAAACCGUCACAUUGUUCAUAACGAGGAUGCAGAGGUUGCAAUUUUGGGACAUGUUGAACUGAAUCCCACAUCAAUCACCAGAAAAUUGGAAUCUACUUCAGAAGUAGAAGUCUUCAGAAGGUCUGAAAGAAACAUCGAUUCCAUCCGUAUAAAAUUCAUCUCGGGCUUGAACUUAAUGAAGAUGAUCCAGAUCAUCGUAUUCAAUUU